AUUACCGCGGCUGCUGGCACGUAGUUAGCCGAUCCUUAUUCUUACAGUACCGUCAAGCCUCUACACGUAGAGGUGUUUCUUCCUGUAUAAAAGCAGUUUACAAUCCAUAGGACCGUCAUCCUGCACGCGGCAUGGCUGGAUCAGGCUUGCGCCCAUUGUCCAAUAUUCCUCACUGCUGCCUCCCGUAGGAGU
rnacentral:rRNA from 1 species